rnacentral:ncRNA from 1 species
CACUGAACUAAAACAUUCUCCUGCCCUAGUAUGAGCGACAGAAAAGGCACUAACAUUGGCGCGAUAGAGGCCCGUACCGUAAGGGAAAGAUGAAAUAACAAUGAAACCCAAAGCAGAAAACAGCAAAGAUAAAUCCUUGUACCUCUUGCAUCAUGGUUUAGCAAGAAUAACCAAGCAAAACGAAUUUAAGCUUGCCACCCCGAAACCCGAGCGAGCUACUUACAAGCAGCUACCCCCUGAGCGAACCCGUCUCUGUUGCAAAAGAGUGGGACGACUUGUCAGUAGAGGUGAAAAGCCAACCGAGCCGGGUGAUAGCUGGUUGCCUGUGAAGUGAAUCUAAGUUCCCUCUUAAUUUUCCCCCUCCGGACACCCACCCUCAACCACCAUGUGGUAGAUCAAGAGUAAUUUAAAGGGGGUACAGCCCCUUUAAAAAAGAAUACAACCUCCACUAGCGGAUAACUGCCCAACUGACACUAAACUGUGGGCCCUCAAGCAGCCAUCAACAAAGAGUGCGUCAAAGCUCUACGCCUAAAAAAAUCCAAAAACAACAGGACUCCCUUAUCCAUAACAGGCCAACCUAUGACAAUAGGAGAAUCAAUGCUAAAAUGAGUAAUCAGGGACUACCCUCUCGAGCGCAAGCUUACAUUACCCCAUUAUUAACAAACCCCAGACUAAUACUUCCAACUCAAACAAGCCAAGUAUUAAAUCCACCCUGUUAAUCCAACUCAGGUGCGCCCAUCAGAAAGAUUCAAAUCUGCAAAAGGAACUAGGCAACCCCAAGGCCCGACUGUUUACCAAAAACAUAGCCUUCAGCCAACCAAGUAUUGAAGGUGAUGCCUGCCCAGUGACACCAUGUUCAACGGCCGCGGUAUCCUAACCGUGCGAAGGUAGCGCAAUCAAUUGUCCCAUAAAUCGAGACUUGUAUGAAUGGCUAAACGAGGUCUUAACUGUCUCUUGCAGACAAUCAAUGAAAUUGAUCUUCCUGUGCAAAAGCAGGAAUAAGCCCAUAAGACGAGAAGACCCUGUGGAACUUAAAAAUCAGCGACCACUACACACAACCCAAAACCUACCAGGCCCACAACCCCAACAACACACUGGCCCGCAUUUUUCGGUUGGGGCGACC